UUUUCAGGGUUUGGUGGGGGCAUUGCUGGAGAACUGGAGACCUGAAGAAUAAGUAUGUAAUCUUCAAAAAAGCAAAAAACAAAACAAAACAACAAAAAAACCGUAAAGAGUUUGAGAAAAGUGUGCUGCAUGAAAAACAGAGAAUAAAAGGAGGAGAAAAGGAUAAUCCUGGAAGACAUCUUCAAGCCCAAAAGGAAU